rnacentral:rRNA from 1 species
AGUGAACGCUGGCGGCGUGCCUAAUACAUGCAAGUCGAACGGAGUGGCGCACGGGUGAGUAAUGUAUAGCUAAUCUGCCCUACACUAGAGGACAACAGUUGGAAAAGACUGCUAAUACUCUAGAGUGUAGGAUGAGGCUAUAUUGUAUCAGCUAGUUGGUGAGGUAAUGGCUCACCAAGGUGAUGACGCAUAACUGGUCUGAGAGGAGGAUCAGUCACACUGGAAGGGAGACACGGUCGGGACAUCUACGGGAGGCAGCGCUAGGGUAUAGCGCCCAAUGGGGGAAACCGAGAAACUGCAUCGGGUCGUGGAGUAUGUCACUGUUGGAGGCAUAAGUUCCUUUUGUUAGGCAAACUUUACCUACAGAAUAAGCACCGGCUAACUCCGUGCCAGCAGCCGCGGUAAUAC